rnacentral:rRNA from 1 species
CCGAUUARUGGCGAACRGGUGAGUAACACGUGAGUAACCUGCCCCCGACUCUGGGAUAAGCCCGGGAAACUGGGUCUAAUACCGGAUAUUCUCCCUCCGCCGCAUGGCGGGGGGUGGAAAGCGGUUUAGCGGUCGGGGAUGGACUCGCGGCCUAUCAGCUUGUUGGCGGGGUAACGGCCCACCAAGGCGACGACGGGUAGCCGGCCUGAGAGGGUGACCGGCCACACUGGGACUGAGACACGGCCCAGACUCCUACGGGAGGCAGCAGUGGGGAAUAUUGCACAAUGGGCGAAAGCCUGAUGCAGCGACGCCGCGUGAGGGAUGACGGCCUUCGGGUUGUAAACCUCUUUCAGUAGGGAAGAAGCGAAAGUGACGGUACCUGCAGAAGAAGCGCCGGCUAACUACGUGCCAGCAGCCGCGGUAAUACGUAGGGCGCAAGCGUUAUCCGGAAUUAUUGGGCGUAAAGAGCUCGUAGGCGGUUUGUCGCGUCUGCCGUGAAAGUCCGGGGCUCAACCCCGGAUCUGCGGUGGGUACGGGCAGACUAGAGUGAUGUAGGGGAGACUGGAAUUCSUGGUGUAGCGGUGAAAUGCGCAGAUAUCRCGAGGAACACCGAUGGCGAAGGCAGGUCUCUGGGCAUUAASUGACGCUGAGGAGCGAAAGCAUGGGGAGCGAACAGGAUUAGAUACCCUGGUASUCCAUGCCGUAAACGUUGGGCACUAGGUGUGGG